UACGUAGGGCGCAAGCGUUAUCCGGAAUUAUUGGGCGUAAAGAGCUCGUAGGUGGUUUGUCGCGUUGUUCGUGAAAACUCACAGCUCAACUGUGGGCGUGCGGGCGAUACGGGCAGACUAGAGUACUGCAGGGGAGACUGGAAUUCCUGGUGUAGCGGUGGAAUGCGCAGAUAUCAGGAGGAACACCAGAGGCGAAGGCGGCCGACUGGGCUGCACCUGACGCUGAGCCGCGAAAGCCAGGGGAGCGAACGGG
rnacentral:rRNA from 1 species